rnacentral:lncRNA from 1 species
UGAAGAUCCUCAGCCUGUGGAUGAAAGGGGUCAAGGUUGCUUUCCUCAGUAGCUGGAGUGGCAGUUAAUUCACCAAAGAUGAUUCACAACCCAUGACAGCUGUAAAGGCAAGAAGCAUGCCUGCAUGAAGCCUCUGCACAGAUCUCAGAAUGAACCAUCAAAAAAUAACCACUGUUUGUACCGCAGAGAGCACUCAAAUACCCUAAUCAUGGAGCAGAGCUUUGUUUGGAGCAGACACUGUACCAACAAAGAAAAUAAGGCAGCAUCAAGACUGAUGAUGUGGCAGGAUUAGAACCUGAUCCAGGCUACGGUGGGGUAGCUGGCUCAUCUCAGUGGGAGAGCUGGAACGGAGUGUUAAAUUGCUGCGAGAAGAAACUGUUCCAAAGCCACGCAGAUUCUUCACAGUGCUUCCUACGCCAAACAUCCUCACUCCCACAGGGAAGAAAAGCAGCGUGGAAAGGUGGCAGUGCUCGUAAUCUGUGUGACUGGCACAGGAGGAGCAGCUUGUGAGCGGCCUCUGGCUCCACCGACUGGCAUGUGGUUCCCUGUAGUAGUGAAGCUGUGAGGGGGCCCCAGCUGAUAUGGGGUCGGGGCUUUCCCCCUGCUCAUCUCCAGCACAGGGGCCCAGCACUCACAGCCAGUGCUGAAAGCACAAGAGAGAGCUGCCACUGGCAGCUUUUGUGCUGGUCUCAGAGUUGAGGCCCACUGGAGAUCUGGCAUCUGAGGAGCAGAGAGCAAGAGCCUCCAGGAGCCAGCAGCACCAGCAGGAAUGGGAGGCAAGCAAAAGCCGUGAGUGGUUGGUGUUCCCAUUUAGCACUGCCCUAUUAAGCAGUGUUCUUUGCUAGAAAUAACACCAACCUCAAGUAUCUUCCUCUGGGAGGCAUUCCAGUUAGGAACUUUUCCCAUUUAAGUGAGAAAUGCGGGGUGUUAAGAAGUGUUCAGUCUGGACAACAGUCAAAUAGGAAAAAAUAAAUAAAUUAAAUAAAAUAAGUAAUUUAAGCUG